rnacentral:sRNA from 1 species
CCUGCGGCGGAAUGAAUAUCUUCCGAAAAUGGGCUGUUACGCAGCGUGACCAUGCUGCGCGAGGGCGACUUACGUCCUCGUAUAUGAGCCUUAGGGCUCCCUGAGCGCCACGACCCCGGAAGGGUCGUGGCGCCCGGGUC